CCUAAGAGAUACGUGUUAUGUGAAGUGCUCACACAGAUUGUCUGAUGAAGAACGAGCAGAGAUACCGGUAUAGGCUUGUAGCUCAGGUGGUUAGAGCGCACCCCUGAUAAGGGUGAGGUCGGUGGUUCAAGUCCACUCAGGCCUACCACUUUUCCUUUAUGCUGUGUUGUGAAGCAACUCGUUUACAUUAAGUAAACUUCGUUACUCCACGCCUUGCCUAAAGAAAAAGCUUCUUAUUAUAAGAAGAAAAAGGAGUGGUUAUACGGGUAUUAAAACAUUAUGGGGCUAUAGCUCAGCUGGGAGAGCGCCUGCCUUGCACGCAGGAGGUCAGCGGUUCGAUCCCGCUUAGCUCCACCAUAAUCUCUUGAAUAUAAAACAAUGAUUCAGAGUAUAUUAGGAAUAGUAUACUGCGAAUUAUUAUGCUCUUUAACAAUCUGGAACAAGCUGAAAAAUUGAAAACAAAUCAAUAUAUCAACGAGGUAUAUUGGUGAGUCUCUCAAAAUCUCAAACCUUAAAGUUUGUCACGCAAAGUUUAUCUUUGAAAAAGACACUUUCGGGUUGUGA
rnacentral:misc_RNA from 1 species